rnacentral:misc_RNA from 1 species
AAAUACGCUUUUACUUUGCUAUCAAAGUAAAAACUUAAAAUCGCAGUAAGAUGGAAAGUGUUAAUCAAUUUUCAGAAGAUGACACAUUUAACAAUAGGAAUAUACACAAAACAGGUACAAGAUAUAAAAUAGCAUUUAACAACGGGUUAAUUUUAAAUAAAAAAAGAGAAACAAAUGAUAUGCAGCAAGAUUGUUUUGAUAAAAAACUCGACAACAUAAGUCAAUAUGUAAAUAAAUUAAAUAAAGUUUCAACCAAAACGAUGUUGUAUAACCUAUUAGUUAAAAUGUACAUUUUAACUUUAAAAACUUAUAUAAAUUAUAUUUUAUAUAAAUACUUUAAAUAAAAUAAUAAUAUAAAAUAAAUAGUAUUACUUAUAUAAUGUAAAAUAAAACAUAUUUUUUUUGCGCUCUCACAAAAGUAAAUCUAUAUAAGUUUUUAAAGUUGAAAGUUGAUUAACACUUUCCAUUACCACUGCGAUUUUAAAAAAAAUGUAAAAAAAAAUUUAAAAAUUAAAAAACGUAAAAAAAAAAACAAUGUAAAAUUAACAAUUUUCUAAAAGAAGACACCUAGAACUUUUUUCUUUUAAAAAAACGUGAAAACUUAUAACUUAACUAAAAGAAAAAAGGUUUUUUGCGAUUCUACUACAAAAACAAAGUGUUGACGCUGAUGACAAAAAAGUUUCAAAGAUCAAAGGUGUUAUCGAAAAGAAUUUUUAAAACUGAAAAAAUUAAAAGACAAGCAGAUAGAGGUGGGAAGUGUGACGUCAUACUAAUAUAGCCUGCUGCCGGGGGCAUCAGUACAUACAUCGACUGACAAAUAGCCUGAAUCGCAGUGGAGUACUGCUACAUAGCCAAGGGUUUUGGGAUAGAUUAGCAACCCUUUCAUUUAUUA